rnacentral:rRNA from 1 species
CCUACGGGAGGCAGCAGUGGGGAAUUUUGCGCAAUGCUCGUAAGAGUGACGCAGCGACGCCGCGUGAAUGACGAAGGCCUUCGGGUCGUAAAGUUCUUUCGACAGGGAAGAAAAUGCCUAUAAGUAACUGUGUAUGUAUUGACGGUACCUGUAUAAGCAGCCCCGGCUAACUCCGUGCCAGCAGCCGCGGUAAUACGGAGGGGGCGAGCGUUGUUCGGAGUGACUGGGCGUAAAGAGCACGUAGGCGGUGUUGUAAGUCAUUAGUCAAAGACUAGAGCUCAACUUUAGUAAGGCUAGUGAUACUAUAAUACGAGAGUAUCAGAGAGGAUUGCAGAAUUCCUGGUGUAGCGGUGAAAUGCGUAGAUAUCAGGAGGAAUACCGUUAGCGAAGGCGGCAAUCUGGCUGGAAACUGACGCUAAGGUGCGAAAGCGUGGGUAGCAAACAGGAUUAGAUACCCCAGUAGUC